GACGAACGCUGGCGGCGUGCCUAAUACAUGCAAGUAGAACGCACAGUUUAUACCGUAGCUUGCUACACCAUAAACUGUGAGUUGCGAACGGGUGAGUAACGCGUAGGUAACCUGCCUGGUAGCGGGGGAUAACUAUUGGAAACGAUAGCUAAUACCGCAUAAUAUUGAUUAUUGCAUGAUAAUUGAUUGAAAGAUGCUAUUGCAUCACUACCAGAUGGACCUGCGUUGUAUUAGCUAGUAGGUGAGGUAACGGCUCACCUAGGCGACGAUACAUAGCCGACCUGAGAGGGUGGUCGGCCACACUGGGACUGAGACAACGCCCAGACCCCUACGGGGGGCAGCAGUAGGGAAACUUCGGCAAUGGACGAAAGUCUGACCGCGGAACGCCGCGGGAGUGGAGAAGGGUUUCGGAUCGGAAAGCUCUGUUGUAAGAGAAGAACGGGUGUGAGAGUGGAAAGUUCACACUGUGACGGUAUCUUACCAGAAAGGGACGGCUAACUACGUG
rnacentral:rRNA from 1 species